rnacentral:rRNA from 1 species
UACGGAGGGGACUAGCGUUGUUCGGCAUUACUGGGCGUAAAGCGCACGUAGGCGGAUUUGUAAGUCAGGGGUGAAAUCCCGGGGCUCAACCUCGGAACUGCCUUUGAUACUGCAAAUCUCGAGUCCGGAAGAGGUGAGUGGAAUUCCUAGUGUAGAGGUGAAAUUCGUAGAUAUUAGGAAGAACACCAGUGGCGAAGGCGGCUCACUGGUCCGGUACUGACGCUGAGGUGCGAAAGCGUGGGGAGCAAACAGG